rnacentral:rRNA from 1 species
CCACGCCGUAAACGGUGGGUGCUAGGUGUGGGGGACUUCCACGUCCUCCGUGCCGUCGCUAACGCAUUAAGCACCCCGCCUGGGGAGUACGGCCGCAAGGCUAAAACUCAAAGGAAUUGACGGGGGCCCGCACAAGCGGCGGAGCAUGUGGAUUAAUUCGAUGCAACGCGAAGAACCUUACCUGGGCUUGACAUGCACUGGAAACCAGUAGAGAUAUUGGCCCCCUUGUGGCCGGUGUACAGGUGGUGCAUGGCUGU